UACAUGUGGGGCAAGCGUUGUUCGGAAUUACUGGGCAUAAAGGGUGCGUAGGCGGUUUGUUAAGUCACUGGUGAAAGUUUGCGGCCCAACCGUAAAAUUGCCUGUGAUACUGGCGAACUCGAGUGCGUGAGGGGUUGGGGGAACGAGCAGUGUAGCGGUGAAAUGCGUAGAUAUUGCUCGGAAGGCCGGAGCCGAAGGGGCCCAACUGGUACGCAACUGACGCUGAGGCACGAAAGCGCGGGGAGCAAACAGG
rnacentral:rRNA from 1 species